rnacentral:lncRNA from 1 species
CUCCCGCCCCGGGGCUCCUGCCCGGACGGCGGCCGCCGCCGCCUCGUCUUCCCCGAGGGCUCCGCGUCCGUCUCCGCAGCUCGGCCGGGAACCUGGGAACUCGGACGCAGAAGGACGCGCCCGAGCCAGGACCCGCCGCGGGGUCCCUCUGGUGGGCCGUGGCCGGGGAGAGGACGCGGGCCCUGGCGGUCGAAGACGGACGCAGCGCCCGGAAAGGCGAGCCAGGUCUCCGGCUCCUGGCGCUUCCUGUGAGCUGGCUCGGCGGGGUGCGUCGCCGGGGAGGGAGGGACUGGCCGUGGGGCGAGCAGCCGGGCGGGGAGUGGCUUCUGGGGGCCUUCGCCAGCGGAGGGCCCGCGAGGCCGCCCUCGGAGCGCCGCCAGGUACGUGGCUGUGACAAUGGCAUCCCCAGCCUGCAUGGAGGACAGGAAUUGAACUUUAGUCUCCAGGCAAUGAAGGUGCAGGGACUACACUUUAUUAAUGGUUGUUAUGUAAUAAAAAACGAUAAAAUGGC